GUGGUCCCAUUAUUUACUGGGUCUUGACAAAUUUUUUUAUCUUUGCCCAUUUUUCAUGGUAUUGGAUAUUUGGAGUACCAAAGUUGCAUGAGUAUACCAUUGUUAAUCUCAAUUUAGAACUGACCUGUUAGUUUAAAUACGUUAUUUUUACAUGUCAAGUUUUGAACAUUAUUGUUCUGAGUCUAGUGCUUUGAGCUGAAUCUCUUGCUAUAUAUAACUGUGUUGUGUUGAAUCUCUUUCUUAUAUUUUCUGUUUUUCUGUAUAUAUUUUUUUGCUACUGUGCCUUUGAUUUGUGUUAUGUAUGACAUUGUUAUUUUGAAUUGAUCAAAUGCUCACUCGUAAGUGUCUUGUUUAAAAUCAUAGUGCUCACAUUUUAAUUAUUAGUUUACAACCCAAGUGCUAAACACAUAUUUCUAAAUUUCUUUGCUUAAUGUCUAAGUGCUACCUUUUUACAUCAUCUUUGAAAUACGAUUUUAUGGUACAAUCCUAAAAAAAAAUAUGUUUAAUAUCUAUGAAGCACUUUGCUUCUGACUUUCACUGUAUGAAUACUUCUUUCAAUGUAGACAAGCUGGAUCCUUGCAUAUAGUUUCAACUAAUCACUUUUUCCAAAAGCUAUGUUGUUUUUGCAUUUAUUAGAUGUUUAUUUUUAAGACGAAUCAAAACUGUUUUCUUUAUAAAUUCAUAUUCAAGGGGCAUUUCUGUUUAAAGACUGAACAUUUUAAAUCACCAUAAUGUUAUUAUCUUAAUCAUGUGUUUAGGGUUUUCAACCGUUGUAAAACAUUUCCCCAUAAAACAAUCAUUUGAAAGUUAAAGGCUGAUAUAUUUUAUUUCUUAAAGAUUUUCCACUGACUAAUAAAACUAUUUGACAAUUAUUUCCAAAAUUAAAAGUUUAAUAUUAUUCUUGACUGAUUAAUUAAAUUCCAUACAUGUAUCAAAAUCUCAUGUUUUUGUUGCUAAUUUUUUUGUGACCAUCAAAAAUUAUUUGAUUAUCUAUUAUUUAUAAGUAGUAAAGUUAAUAUUAGGGUUAGAUUUGUGAGUGAUUUUUUUUGCAUACUUUGAAUGUUUAAAGUAUAGGGUAUACAUUUUAUUUAAUCAAAUUCUUUGUUGCUUUGUUUUAUUUUUUAUUCCUUGUGGUUAUAAAUUUGACUUUGUUGUAUAAAAGGUGGUAAAAAUGUACAGAGUAAUUACCUAUUGUUCAUGCUUAACUGAUUUACUUUUGAAAUACUUUUUUUUUUUUCCAAUACAGCCUUUGGCAGCUAUUUUAUUGCACAAAUCAUAUUUUCCUUGCUUUUAAAUAAAUGAAAUUGAUGAACAAACAAUGAAUUGCCACAAAGUGUUUCAUUUUAAUAAAGAAUUUGCUUGAAAUUGUU
rnacentral:lncRNA from 1 species